rnacentral:rRNA from 1 species
AGUAAGGGCGAGUGAAGUGGGACGAGCUCAGCACCGAAGCCGGCGGCCGAGAGGCCGUCGUGCAAUGUGGUGUUCGGGACGGCUCUGUCCGUGUCCGGCGUCGGUCCAAGUCUCCUGGAAAGGAGUUCCGUGGAGGGUGACAGGCCCGUGCGACCGAUCGCCGCGUUCGCGGACGAGUCUUCCUUCGAGUCGGGUUGCUCGCUAAUGCAGCCCUAAGCAGGUGGUAAGCUCCAUCUAAAGCUAAAUAUAACCACGAGUCCGAUAGUCAACAAGUACAGUGAUGGAAAGUUGAAAAGUACUCUGAAGAGAGAGUCAAAUAGCCCGUGAAGCUGCCAGUAUGGGAUUAAGCGCACGUGUGACGCGUGUCGUCUGACAAAUAGGCGUUCGUCGGCUGUCGCACGGCGCGCGCUCGGCAUCGGAAACGGUGUCGGCGCGCGUCGCUGUUGGGCGGUCGGCGGCACGCCUCCCUUUGUUGGACACAGACAGGUCGGGGCUUCGUUGUCCGGUCUUAUUGCCGGUCGUUAUGACGAGAGCCGUAUUCGGCCGGCGCCGUCUUCGGACGUGUGCCGGUGUUCCGCGGAGUGUGCGCCUUGUGCGGCCGCGGCGGGUCUGGUCUCGGUGUGACGCGACCGAUUGGCGAACGACUGGGCGACGGCCAGCGCAAAUCGACAUUUAUAUGUCGGCUCGGCCUUUGCGUCGUCACGUGCGGCCCGUCUUGAAACACGGACCAAGGAGUCUAACAUGUGAGCGAGCGAUUGAGAUAGUCGAAUCUCAAACGCGCAAUGAAAGUGAAGUGUCGUCUGACGGCACGAGCGGAGAUCCGUCGUCACUCGUGGCGGCGGCGCAUCCGCGGGCCACGCCAUCGGCUGGCUUGCUCUUCUGAGCACUGCUGAGGCGUGGACCUAGAGCCCACACGUUGGGACCCGAAAGAUGGUGAACUAUGCUUGGCCAGGAUGAAGCCAGAGGAAACUCUGGUGGAGGUCCGCCGCGAUUCUGACGUGCAAAUCGAUCGUCUGAGCUGGGUAUAGGGGCGAAAGACCAAUCGAACCAUCUAGUAGCUGGUUCCGCCCGAAGUUUCCCUCAGGAUAGCUGGCGCUCGUGUGAUACGGAGUUUCAUCCGGUAAAGCGAAUGAUCAGAGGAGCUGGGCUCCUUGCGAGCUCAACCUAUUCUCAAACUUUCAAUGGGUGAGACGUCUCGCUGGCUUCAGUGCAGCGACGACUCUGAAUCCGAGUGCCCAGUGGGCCACUUUUGGUAAGCAGAACUGGCGAUGCGGGAUGAACCGCAUGUCGAGUUAAGGUGCCUAAGCGGACGCAAAUCAGAUACCAUGAAAGGUGUUGAUUGCUCAGGACAGCAGGACGGUGGCCAUGGAAGUCGGCAUCCGCUAAGGAGUGUGUAACAACUCACCUGCCGAAGCAAUCAGCCCUGAAAAUGGAUGGCGCUAAAGCGUUCCACCGAUACUCGACCGUCGUCGGCAGGCGACGUGCAUGUCACGUCUCAAGCCACGACGAGUAGGGCGGCGCGGCGGUGAGCGUCGAAGGCGUAGCCGUGAGGCUAGCUGGAGCCGCCGUCGGUGCAGAUCUUGGUGGUAGUAGCAAAUACACAAGCAAGAUCCUUGUGGACCGAUGUGGAGAAGGGUUCCGCGCGAACAGUACUUGGACGUGGGUGAGUCGGCCCUAAGCCAACGGGUAAUUCCCGCAUCCCGUGUUUGUCGCAUUUCUUAUCGAAUAACAUGGGUUGAU